AUACGGAGGGGGCUAGCGUUGUUCGGAAUUACUGGGCGUAAAGCGCGCGUAGGCGGAUUGAUCAGUCAGGGGUGAAAUCCCGAGGCUUAACCUCGGAACUGCCUCUGAUACUGUCAAUCUUGAGUUCGAGAGAGGUGAGUGGAAUUCCUAGUGUAGAGGUGAAAUUCGUAGAUAUUAGGAAGAACACCAGUGGCGAAGGCGGCUCACUGGCUCGAUACUGACGCUGAGGUGCGAAAGCGUGGGGAGCAAACAGGAUUAGAAACCCCUGUAGUCC
rnacentral:rRNA from 1 species